AUCCACAGUCAUAGACUCUUUUAAUAAUUAGAAAGUUACCAGAAUACACCGUCCACGAUAUAGUAAAGACAUAUCGUGACACCAUGUGUCUUAAAAUCGUGGAUUUAUCUCGCCUUUUGACUGAAAAGUGGCGAUACAUUCGAGCACGUUUAAACUUACCGCGCUUAAUCGUGCAAUCGCAAAAUAUUUCGUAAUGUCGUCUAUGCCAGUACACUGCGAUAUUUUAUGUAUACAUAAAAUUAAUGGCAUUCUGGAAAAUGACUUACAAACUGAUUCAUGAUAAUUUGACGGACUCAUAAUAUUCUAAGAGGGUGAAAAUGACUUAUGCAAGUGGUUUACGUAAGUUAUAUGCGAUGCAUUUCUACGACAUUUUCAUCUCACUGUUUUAUGAAUAUGACAAAUAUUUCGUUAAAGUCCCAUAAUUACCUAAAUAAACGAAAAGAAAUAAUUUCCAAUGUCGAUAAAACUUUACGCAACACCAUUAUUUCGUUUGGCUCCAGGUUUUCUCUGGAAACGCCACCCAAUCAACGGCGAGGUUUCAAGGACCGCCCAUCAGAGUCGACCAAUGGUGAGCGGCUUUAGAAAGUCGUCCCCAGAUUCCGCUUUGCAUUCAUCCCUGUCGCGCGUGGACCUCUCGGCUAACGUUACCACGUCCAUUCACCUCUCGUUCCAAAAAUCCACAACAUGGGUGACGUAGAGAAGGGCAAGAAGAUCUUCGUGCAGAGAUGCGCUCAGUGCCACACCGUGGAGGCAGGCGGCAAGCACAAGACAGGCCCCAACCUGAACGGUCUGUUCGGAAGGCAGACUGGCAAGGCCGCUGGCUACGUCUACACAGAUGCUAACAAGUCCAAGGGAAUUGUCUGGGGAGCCGACACUCUAGACGUCUACCUGACCAACCCUAAAAAGUAUAUUCCUGGAACUAAAAUGGUCUUCGCUGGCUUGAAGAAGAAGAAGGAAAGGUCCGAUUUGAUAGCCUACCUUGAGGAAUCGACAAAGUAAAUCGUCUCUAUGUACUUUUUUAUUCCAAUAGAAAGUUCGAAGAUUCUUUUAAAAAAAUGAGAAAAAAGAUGAAAAGGUAACAGUUUAAGGAGUCGUUAUUUAUUUUAGAUUGUACUGUACAUAGUUUAAAAAAAAAAAAAAAGUCCGUGACCCCUAUGUUCCAGAAAACAGUGUCGCAAUAACAAAUCGUCUCGUUCAAUAUUUUGGAACACCCUGUGCUUUCGUCAUGGUUUCCCCUCGCCCAAGUUAUCCCAACAUUCAGUUCAGUUGUUGAACAAUUUCGAUUUUAAGAUUGGUAGAACUUGUACACAGGGUAAAGAAAAUUAGUCUUGUGUGUAAAUAGCCGCUUUCAGUACCAGUCAGGGUGCAGAGAAGAGGCCCUUUCGGUGCAAUCUGUGGAUAAAUGUUGUCUCGUCUUCACGGAUGGAUGAAGGUUUACGGUGAUAAUCAUUCCACCUUUUUAAUAAGUAAUUUAAUUGAGUUUGCAACCAAAGAUUGUUUGAAACGAGCAUUUGGUCCUGACUGGAGAAUUCAUUCCACUCAUGUAAUUUUGUUUUUCAACAAAAUAAAUGGAAAAGCUCUUA